rnacentral:rRNA from 1 species
GAUGAACGCUGGCGGCGUGCCUAAUACAUGCCAGUCGAGCGAACAGACGAGGAGCUUGCUCCUCUGACGUUAGCGGCGGACGGGUGAGUAACACGUGGAUAACCUACCUAUAAGACUGGGAUAACUUCGGGAAACCGGAGCUAAUACCGGAUAAUAUAUUGAACCGCAUGGUUCAAUAGUGAAAGACGGAUUUGCUGUCACUUAUAGAUGGAUCCGCGCCGCAUUAGCUAGUUGGUAAGGUAACGGCUUACCAAGGCGACGAUGCGUAGCCGACCUGAGAGGGGGAUCGGCCACACUGGAACUGGGACACGGUCCAGACUCCUACGGGAGGCAGCAGUAGGGAAUCUUCGGCAAUGGGCGAAAGCCUGACGGAGCAACGCCGCGUGAGUGAUGAAGGUCUUCGGAUCGUAAAACUCUGUUAUUAGGGAAGAACAAAUGUGUAAGUAACUAUGCACGUCUUGACGGUACCUAAUCAGAAAGCCACGGCUAACUACGUG